UUUGAGAGUUUGAUCCUGGCUCAGGAUGAACGUUGGCGGCGCGCCUUAGGCAUGCAAGUCGAGCGAGCAGCGAUGUUGGCACUUAGUGCUUCUUUUGCCCGAUGAUAUGGUAUGGAAGUCUUAUAUGCCAGCAUCAAAGCUAGCGGCGAACGGGUGAGUAACGAGUAGGUUAUCUGCCCUAAAGUUCGGAAUAGCCUCGAGAAAUCGGGGGUAAUGCCGGAGAUGUCGCAAGACCAAAGCAGUUUAUACUGCGCUUUAGGAGGAGCCUGCUUGCUAUCAGCUAGUUGGUGGGGUAAUGGCCUACCAAGGCUAAGACGGCUAGCCGGUCUGAGAGGAUGAUCGGCCACAUAGGGACUGAGACACGGCCCUAACACCUACGGGUGGCAGCAGCCAGGAAUAUUGGACAAUGGGGGAAACCCUGAUCCAGCGACGCCGCGUGGAGGAUGAAGGCCGAAAGGUUGUAAACUCCUUUUGCAUGGGAACAAUGCGAGGGUACCAUGCGAAUAAGCUACUGCUAACUUCGUGCCAGCAGCAGCGGUGAUACGGGGGUAGCAAACGUUAUCCGGAUUUACUGGGCGUAAAGAGAUGCGUAGGCGUUCUGUCCAAGUCAUUCGUUAAAUACUUCGGCUUAACCGAAGGGGUGCGUUUGAUACUGGCGGAAUCGAGGAAACCAGGGGAGAGUAGAAUUUACCGAGUACCGGUGAAAUGGGUUGAUACGGUAAGGAAUACCAAUGGCGAAGGCAACUCUCUGGGGUUCUCCUGACGCUAAGGCUCGAAAGCGUGGGGAUCAAAACGGAUUAGAUACCCGUGUAGUCCACGCCCUAAACGAUCCUUACUAGGCGUUCGGUACGUUAGAAUUGGACUUUGUUCCUUUUCCCCGCGUGCUGAGUGCGAUAGCUAACGCGUUAAGUAAGGCGCCUGGGGAGUACGGCCGCAAGGCUAAAACUCAAAGGAAUUGACGGGGACCCGCACAAGCGGUGGAGCGCCUGGUUUAAUUCGACAAUAAGCGAAGAACCUUACCAAGGCUUGACAUGUAGUAGAAUCCUCUGGAAACAGAGGAGUGCCCGCAAGGGAGCUACUACACAGCUGCUGCAUGGCUGUCGUCAGCUCGUGUCGUGAGAUGUUUGGUUAAGUCCAUCAACGAGCGCAACCCUCACCCAAUGUUACAUAACUUUGGGAACUGCCAUGUUUUACAUGGAGGAAGGUGGGGAUGACGUCUAGUCCGCAUGGCGCUUAUGCCUUGGGCUACACAGACGCUACAAUGGCCGGUACAAUGGGUUGCUAAGUCGCGAGACGGAGCUAAUCCCAAAAAACCGGUCCCAGUUCGGAUUGGAGGCUGCAACUCGCCUCCAUGAAGCCGGAAUCGCUAGUAAACGCGUUUCAGCAUUGCGCGUUGAAUACGUUCUCGGGUCUUGUACACACCGCCUGUCAAGUUAUGGGAGUCGGGAAUACCCGAACAGUCAUCGGUUUUGAUUGGAAGGUAGGCUCGACGACUGUAAUUAAGUCAUAACAAGGUAGCCGUAGGGGAAUCUGCGGCUGAAUCACCUCCUU
rnacentral:rRNA from 1 species